UACGUAGGGUGCGAGCGUUAAUCGGAAUUACUGGGCGUAAAGCGUGCGCAGGCGGCUUUGCAAGACAGAUGUGAAAUCCCCGGGCUCAACCUGGGAACUGCAUUUGUGACUGCAAGGCUAGAGUAUGGCAGAGGGGGAUGGAAUUCCGCGUGUAGCAGUGAAAUGCGUAGAUAUGCGGAGGAACGCCAAUGGCGAAGGCAAUCCCCUGGGACUGUACUGACGCUCAUGCACGAAAGCGUGGGGAGCAAACAGG
rnacentral:rRNA from 1 species